UGCCCAGCAACUCCUAUCCCUACCUCCUCGUGGUACUGGCCGGGGUACGAGUAACCUUGGGGAAGAUCGGGUAACCAACCCCCGGUGGGAACUUUGGUCGUAUGCUAACAGGGAAGG
rfam:Aedes aegypti strain Liverpool supercont1.4 genomic scaffold, whole genome shotgun sequence.